UACGGAGGGUGCAAGCGUUGUCCGGAUUUAUUGGGUUUAAAGGGUGCGUAGGCGGCCCGUUAAGUCAGCGGUGAAAUCCCACGGCUCAACCGUGGAACUGCCGUUGAUACUGGCGGGCUUGAGUUCGGUCGAGGCGGGCGGAACUGGUGGUGUAGGGGUGAAAUGCUUAGAUACCACCAAGAACCCCGAUUGCGUAGGCAGCUCGCUGGGCCGAAACUGACGCUGAGGCACGAAAGCGUGGGGAGCGAACAGG
rnacentral:rRNA from 1 species